UUCCUGGUUGCCUAGUGGUUAAGGACUCAGUGUUGUCACUGCUGUGGCACAGGUUCAAUCUCUUGUCCAGGAAC
rnacentral:tRNA from 1 species